UAUACAUGCCUUCAAGGUCAUUGUGCCUCAUUUGGCUUAAUCUAUUUGUUUAUUGAAAACUCUAGCCACCUCUGCUGGGAAUGACCUCAGGCCAGAGGAAUAGCAUGGGACUAGGUGAUGAGAUGCUUGUUGAUUGAUUGAUGAUAAUGCUGUAUCAGUGCUGUAGUGAAUUGAACACCACAUCAUCAAUGCUUACCUGCAAGAAGUUUCAAGAACACCUUUGUACUCACUUGAGAUGAAGAAACAGAAGUGAAGUGCUUUACUCAAGAUCAUACUGAGCCAAAGAUAGAACAAUCAUAGAUUUUGAGAAGAAAGGUGCUCAGAAGCCACUCAGUCCAAUCUCCACCCAAAUUAUAUACUAGAACCCUAGGUCAUCAGAAUCUUGGCCCAGGCUCCUUUCACUAUAUGGCAUAAAGACUAUGGAACUGGCAUGUCUGACACAAGAAAGUCAUGAUGCAUUAAUUGGCUUGAUCAAUUCAAGUUUGAUUGACUUGGAUAGCAAAUGGAUAGUGGUGUGAAGUAAACUAGACAGAAAAAAAUUAAAGAUUACAUUUUGGACUCCUGGGCAUAUUUAAUAUUGCAUGGACUUUGCUAAAGUUGCCAAAGUUUGUCACUAAACUCAGUGAGAAAUAAUACGUAUUUACAGCAAAACCUAUAUAUAAUUGUGGAAGUGUUAAUUAUCUUUACGGCUAUCAUCUUCUUCCUCCUCUUCUUCAAUGCCUGUCACA